UGGUGACUAUAGCAAGGAGGUCACACCUGUUCCCAUGCCGAACACAGAAGUUAAGCUCCUUAGCGUCGAUGGUAGUUGA
rnacentral:rRNA from 1 species